GGUUUUGUAGUCAAUAAUGAUUUUAAAUUGCAAAUUUAAAGGUAAAUUUUUUUCUAAACCU
rnacentral:tRNA from 1 species